CCCUUAGAUGUUCUGGGCCGCACGCGCGCUACACUGAUGCAUUCAACGAGUCUAAAACCUGCUCUGAUGGGGGUGGGUAAUCUUUUGAAUGUGCAUCGUGAUUGGGAUAGAUGAUUGAAAUUUUUCAUCUUCAACGAGGAAUGCCUAGUAAACGCAAGUCAUCAGCUUGCAUUGAUCACGUCCCUGCCCUUUGUACACACCGCCCGUCGCUCCUACCGAUUGAAUGAUCCGAUGAAUAUCAUGGAUUGAGGAUGCAAGUAGGUUCACCUAUCUUCAUCUUCGAGAAGUGAAGUAAAUCUUAUCAUUUAGAGGAAGGAGAAGUCGUAACA
rnacentral:rRNA from 1 species